CACCGAAAAGUUGAACCUUCCUCCCGACAAAUCUAAAUCCCGGCCAUAACCCAGCUCGAAUAACACAAAUAACAGCGCAAACAAGUCGAAGCGGAGGAGCGCCUGCAGCAUAAAAAAAAAAGAAACUCAAAAGACGGGAGAAAAAAAGAAGAAAACAGCAAAAAACACUCAACUCGGAUGCAGCCGCCGCCACAUCGUUAAUGAAGGCAUUUCCUUCCAGCUUGAGAGAGCUGUUAUCAGUACCUAAUUUCUUGGUAGACGUACAGGUGUUCGUAACGGAAUCAUCGCCCGCAGUCUUGAGUCAGUGGUCAAAGUCCCGUUAGCUGGUCAAAAAUCUGAGUGAUAAGCACAGGAGAGGCAUGCAAGUCAUGCGUAGACAUCAAGAAGCCAUUGCACAGCGAUAGCGAUAAGUUCAGGUCUCCAAUACGGGGGGAAUGUGCGGGGGGAGCUGUCUGUGAGGAGGUACUGCAAGUCUAGUGCUUUACAGCCACUGUUUUGGACGAUUACCCCCACAAUCUUUAACUCGAAAUAAUUGCCAACAAUGGCUAAUAGAUGGGUUCUUAUCUGGAAUUUUUCUAUGGAAUGCAACGUGACAAUUUAAAGGGCUUUCACUAUAAAUAGAGCAGUGUUCCCGCAUAUAAAGAAUCAAACAAGGUUGCAUCAUUAUCUUUUCGAUCUUUUCACUUUCGCAGUUUACAGUUGCAGCUGCAGUCUGAGAGAGAGAGAGAGAGAGAGAGCGGGAGAGAGAGGCAGACGUUGAGUGAGUUUGGAGAGCCGGCCGGCGAGAGAGUGCAUCAAGUGCAGCAACUGUAAAGAAAUAGCAACGAAAAAAAAAACACCA